GGGGAUGACGUCAAGUCAUCAUGGCCCUUACGACCAGGGCUACACACGUGCUACAAUGGCGCAUACAAAGAGAAGCGACCUCGCGAGAGCAAGCGGACCUCAUAAAGUGCGUCGUAGUCCGGAUUGGAGUCUGCAACUCGACUCCAUGAAGUCGGAAUCGCUAGUAAUCGUGGAUCAGAAUGCCACGGUGAAUACGUUCCCGGGCCUUGUAC
rnacentral:rRNA from 1 species